rnacentral:sRNA from 1 species
GCCGGGUGUGGUGGUGCACGCUUGUAAUCUUGGCUAUUAGGGAGGCUGAGGCAGGAGGAUCAAAAACUUGUGAAUCACACCUGUCAUCCCAGCAGCUCAGGAGGCUGAGGCAGGAGGAUCAAAAGUUCAAAGCCAGCCUCAGCAAAAGCAAGGUGCUAAGCAACUCAGUGAGACCCUGUCUCUA